rnacentral:rRNA from 1 species
UGCCUAACACAUGCAAGUCGAACGAGAAGGUGACUUCGGUCACUGGAAAGUGGCGUCCGGGAGAGUAACACGUGGGUAAUCUACCUCUGGGUGGGGAAUAACGUCUCGAAAGAGACGCUAAUACCGCAUAAUACAGCGGCACCUAAUGGUGAAUAGUUGUUAAAGCGGGGGAUCGCAAGACCUCGCGCCUGAAGAGGAGCCUGCGGCAGAUUAGCUUGUUGGUAGGGUAAUGGCCUACCAAGGCUGCGAUCUGUAGCUGGUCUGAGAGGACGGCCAGCCACACUGGCACUGACACACGGGCCAGACUCCUACGGGAGGCAGCAGUGGGGAAUUUUGGGCAAUGGACGAAAGUCUGACCCAGCAACGCCGCGUGAGGGAGGAAAUCCUUCGGGAUGUAAACCUC